rnacentral:rRNA from 1 species
GAUGAACGCUGGCGGCGUGCUUAACACAUGCAAGUCGAGCGAGAAGUUUUGAAAAGAUUCUUCGGAUGAAAUUUAAAAUGGAAAGCGGCGGACGGGUGAGUAACGCGUAGGCAACCUGCCACAUACAAAGGGAUAGCAUUUGGAAACGAAUAUUAAUACCUUAUGAAACUUAACUAGUGCAUGCUAGGUAGGUCAAAGAUUUAUCGGUAUGGGAUGGGCCUGCGUCUGAUUAGCUAGUUGGUGAGGUAACGGCUCACCAAGGCGACGAUCAGUAGCCGACCUGAGAGGGUGAACGGCCACAUUGGAACUGAGACACGGUCCAAACUCCUACGGGAGGCAGCAGUGGGGAAUAUUGCACAAUGGGGGAAACCCUGAUGCAGCAACGCCGCGUGAACGAUGAAGGCCUUUGGGUCGUAAAGUUCUGUUCUAGGUGAUGAAAACUGACAGUAACCUAGGAGAAAGCCCCGGCUAACUCCGUG